rnacentral:rRNA from 1 species
CGGGACACGUGGUAUCCUGUCUGAAUAUGGGGGGACCAUCCUCCAAGGCUAAAUACUCCUGACUGACCGAUAGUGAACCAGUACCGUGAGGGAAAGGCGAAAAGAACCCCGGCGAGGGGAGUGAAAAAGAACCUGAAACCGUGUACGUACAAGCAGUGGGAGCACGCUUAGGCGUGUGACUGCGUACCUUUUGUAUAAUGGGUCAGCGACUUAUAUUCUGUAGCAAGGUUAACCGAAUAGGGGAGCCGAAGGGAAACCGAGUCUUAACUGGGCGUUAAGUUGCAGGGUAUAGACCCGAAACCCGGUGAUCUAGCCAUGGGCAGGUUGAAGGUUGGGUAACACUAACUGGAGGACCGAACCGACUAAUGUUGAAAAAUUAGCGGAUGACUUGUGGCUGGGGGUGAAAGGCCAAUCAAACCGGGAGAUAGCUGGUUCUCCCCGAAAGCUAUUUAGGUAGCGCCUCGUGAAUUCAUCUCCGGGGGUAGAGCACUGUUUCGGCAAGGGGGUCAUCCCGACUUACCAACCCGAUGCAAACUGCGAAUACCGGAGAAUGUUAUCACGGGAGACACACGGCGGGUGCUAACGUCCGUCGUGAAGAGGGAAACAACCCAGACCGCCAGCUAAGGUCCCAAAGUCAUGGUUAAGUGGGAAACGAUGUGGGAAGGCCCAGACAGCCAGGAUGUUGGCUUAGAAGCAGCCAUCAUUUAAAGAAAGCGUAAUAGCUCACUGGUCGAGUCGGCCUGCGCGGAAGAUGUAACGGGGCUAAACCAUGCACCGAAGCUGCGGCAGCGACGCUUAUGCGUUGUUGGGUAGGGGAGCGUUCUGUAAGCCUGUGAAGGUGUACUGUGAGGUAUGCUGGAGGUAUCAGAAGUGCGAAUGCUGACAUAAGUAACGAUAAAGCGGGUGAAAAGCCCGCUCGCCGGAAGACCAAGGGUUCCUGUCCAACGUUAAUCGGGGCAGGGUGAGUCGACCCCUAAGGCGAGGCCGAAAGGCGUAGUCGAUGGGAAACAGGUUAAUAUUCCUGUACUUGGUGUUACUGCGAAGGGGGGACGGAGAAGGCUAUGUUGGCCGGGCGACGGUUGUCCCGGUU